UACGGGGGGGGCAAGCGUUGUUCGGAAUUACUGGGCGUAAAGGGCUCGUAGGCGGCCAACUAAGUCAGACGUGAAAUCCCUCGGCUUAACCGGGGAACUGCGUCUGAUACUGGUUGGCUUGAAUCCGGGAGAGGGAUGUGGAAUUCCAGGUGUAGCGGUGAAAUGCGUAGAUAUCAGGAGGAACACCGGUGGCGAAGGCGGGUCUCUGGGCCGUAACUGACGCUGAGGAGCGAAAGCGUGGGGAGCGAACAGG
rnacentral:rRNA from 1 species